CUUCCGAUGAUGAUAAAUGUGAACCCAGCUCAUUAUGAGACAUUCACCAUUUGAAAGUCUGGGAAUAGUUUUAUCCACAUUUAUCUGAGCCUGAAG